CAACCUACUCCAAUUUCCUUUCGAACCCCAGCCUACAAUAACAUACUUACAACAUUCAGCAUUUUCCAGACCCCUACCCUCCCAAAUUACUCUCGACCCGGCCCAAAACCUACUCAAAAUUCAAAAUCCCAGCAGCAACGCGUGAACGCUUCAACCGACUAACCUUCGUUUCUUCUUCUUUCUCACGCACAAUCAGAACCCAGUGAACUUAGAAUCACAAACCAAACCAGGCGCGAACCAGCAGCAAAUCGCAGCAGUAGUACGCAGAAAUCCAGUCCAGAAUCGCGCCCCCAGUCCAGUGAGAAUGAGCCCAAUAGCUGAGGGGAGGAGGUUUUUUGAAUCGGGAGAGUACCCCAAAAGGUUUGGAAAAUCUUGGUUCAAUAGUUGAAAUUUUUGUGGCUUUGUGGUUGUUGCAAUUGAAAGAGGUGGAGAAAUCAUCUUCACAACUCGUUGUCCCGGUUCACUGCUCAAGAUCAGGUAAUUUCCCUUCUACGUUUCCUUGUAUUUUCACAUUUGUUUUCCUUGCUUGUUGUUGCAAUGUGGUAGCUAAGUUUGUAUAGAUUCAGCAUUUUAGGUUGAUUAGUAUUUAGCAGUUUUUGCCUUCCUUAUGCCUUCCUCUCUGUUAAUUUAAUUUCAGCAUUUUUCUAUCGUCUUAGAAUAAGUUUGAUCAGUGUUGAAUGGCAUUAGAGUUGUGUUUUUGUGUUCAAGCAUUUCUAGCUUUUAGGUUGUAGUAUGUAGCUUGCAUUCAUUUUGAUUUGGAAAGCUUUCGAAAGUACUUAGUUUCUCUUGAUUGUCUCAUCAAUCUAAGUUGUAACAAAAUUUCAAAUUUGGAGUUGUACUUUCCCAUUCAUUAUCAGUGAAAACCUUAAUCUCUUCAUCUAAUCUCUUCACAUGUAUAAAAAUGUUGUGCUCAGUUUCAUUAUAGCCAGCUAAGUGAUCCAAUGUGGGCUUGAAAUGUGUUUAUUUUGGUUAUAUCAUAUCUAUUUAAGUUCCAGUUAGCGAAUUUGCUUCAAGCUGUCUUAUUUCCAAUUGUUAUCGGCUCCUAGUUGUUGCCUGUCUCCCUGUUUUUGAGUUUCCUGCCUUGAUUUCCAUGUGAAAAAUAUAGGAAAUAUGUUGAAGUUUGGUUCCCUCUCUUUGGUUGUUCGGGACUUCGCCAUUAUUUAAUCAACUUAAAUCACAUCGAUUACAUCAUCUAGCUUCUCUUUGUUAUCUCUGAUUUAAUGUGAAAUGUUUAUUAAAAUUUCAUAUUCAACACCACUUGAAUAUUUUUCUUAUAGUUAAAAGUUAUCCUUGAUUAAGCACGAAAACUAUUUUCCUUCCUUUCGUUUGUUUAACAACCUAUUUGUAAUCCCUGAUUUAAUGUGAAUAUAGAAUAAUCAUAUCCAUUUUAUUUUUAUUUUUUGUAUUUGUGUUCAACUUCCAAUAUGUUCACCUGCAAUCUGAAUUUACUAUUUCUUGCAUGAAUAUGUCUCAAUAUUGUUUGAGUUAUAGCUUUGUUUUGUGAUUAGGAGAUAAGUUUUAAUUCAUCACUUUCUAAUUAAUGGUGAGUUGAUAUUUGUCAAGUUUUUAGUUCACUGUUGUUUAGCAUGGUUUCAUUUUCCUGUUGUUUCAAGGUGAUUAGAACCUUUUUUCCACUUACAUAACAAGUUUUUUUUCGAUUUUUUUGUCUAGACUUCUAUUUGAUUAAACUAAGAGUCUAGUCUUUUCCUAGCCUAAGUUAAAUUUCCAGAUUUUAAGUCAUGUCUUGUUUUAGUAUUAACUCAUAAUUUGUACAUGCACCUAUGAAUUUGAAGUUUGAUAUUUGGAGUCAUGUUGAUCUUGUAGUAGCCAUUAUAAGUUUCUCAUCCUUGCAUAAUUCAGUUUAGAUGUGGAGACUUAUGCCUUAAGUUUUUAAUUUAUUUUUUCUGUUGUCAGUUACGUUACUUAGAAGUUAAACCGGUUUGUUAACAAAAUUUAACUUUGCCUUUGUGUAUAUGUGCAUUUGUUACAUGCACAUUUGAGAUGCAACUUUUAAUCUAAUUCUUUAAUUGUCAUUUUUAGCACUCCAUGUGUUUAAAUAUCAAAACAAAUGUGGGACACCUUUCCUAAAUUUUGUAUCUAUUUUAUUCCUUUUGCCAUGUGGUACCAACAAUGUUGAUUGUUGUUUAAAUGUCAUUUAUGAGGUGACCAACUAUUAUGAAGUAACUAAUUGAUUAUCAUCUCUUUAUUCACCAUGAGAUUCCCAUUGCUUUUAUGUUAUAAUUUCAUUUGUAUUAUGAUUAGUUCUAGUUUGUUAGGCAGUAGCUCUUUGGUAAUAAUGGUUUGUUGUUUAAAUUGUGUUGAAUGACAAAUUGUUCAAUUGAUUAUCCUUGAGCUUUGUAUCUGAGUUUAUUACUGAAUUCGUUCAUUUACUAAUCCUUCUUUCCUCAUUUUCUUUGCAUGAACUCACUCGUUUGAGUCUAUUCGGACUUCCCAUUCCCUUGCGUUCUCUUCUUUUUGAGUCAAACAUUUGCCAAGUUAUGAAAGGAAAAUUGAUAUAUUGGGUUAAAACCUUAUAAAUCAGUAGUUGCAGUAGUCCCAAAGGGACUAAAAUUGGGAAUUUUGGACUACAAAAAUUCCAAUUCAUACAAUAACAGGUUGCAGCAAUACCAAAGGACUAAAACGAAGAGAUUUUGGACUUUGAAAGUUCAUUUUGAAGAACAGUAGUCACACAGGACAAAAAAUGGGAAUUUAUUAGACUUUGGAGUUCAAUUUGAUCGCAGCAGCAGCAAAAAGCAUUUAGGCCAAGGGCCUAAAUUCUUGCUAUUUACUAUCUUGAUUUAUGUCCUUAAUUUAUUUUGGAAAUGCUAACUUUUUUUUUCGAUUAAGUCAUCUGCAGCACCCUAAAGUUGUCUGCAUAUUUAAUUUGAACACCUGAACUGAGACUUGUACCUAUUGAACACCUCUAGUAGUUUGAAUUGAUACCACUUAAGCACGUUUUGCCUACAUGGCACUUUGAAUGUGAUUCACCGCUAAUGAGAGCGUGAAAACAUA